rnacentral:rRNA from 1 species
CACGUAGGGUGCGAGCGUUGUCCGGAAUUGUUGGGCGUAAAGAGCUCGUAGGCGGUGUGUCGCGUCGGCCGUGAAAACCUGCAGCUUAACUGUGGGCUUGCGGUCGAUACGGGCAUCACUGGAGUUCGGCAGGGGAGACUGGAAUUCCUGGUGUAGCGGUGAAAUGCGCAGAUAUCAGGAGGAACACCGGUGGCGAAGGCGGGUCUCUGGGCCGAUACUGACGCUGAGGAGCGAAAGCGUGGGGAGCGAACAGG